rnacentral:rRNA from 1 species
GAGGAAAGCGGGAGGCGUGCCUAAUACAUGCAAGUCGAGCGAACAGACGAGGAGCUUGCUCCUCUGACGUUAGCGGCGGACGGGUGAGUAACACGUGGAUAACCUACCUAUAAGACUGGGAUAACUUCGGGAAACCGGAGCUAAUACCGGAUAAUAUAUUGAACCGCAUGGUUCAAUAGUGAAAGACGGUUUUGCUGUCACUUAUAGAUGGAUCCGCGCCGCAUUAGCUAGUUGGUAAGGUAACGGCUUACCAAGGCAACGAUGCGUAGCCGACCUGAGAGGGUGAUCGGCCACACUGGAACUGAGACACGGUCCAGACUCCUACGGGAGGCAGCAGUAGGGAAUCUUCCGCAAUGGGCGAAAGCCUGACGGAGCAACGCCGCGUGAGUGAUGAAGGUCUUCGGAUCGUAAAACUCUGUUAUUAGGGAAGAACAAAUGUGUAAGUAACUAUGCACGUCUUGACGGUACCUAAUCAGAAAGCCACGGCUAACUACGUG